rnacentral:SRP_RNA from 2 species
GCUGGGCGUGGUGGUGCGCGCCUGUAGUCCCAGCUACUCAGGAGGCUGAGGCAGGAGAAUUGCUUGAACCCGGGAGGCGGAGGUUGCAGUGAGCCGAGGUCAUGCCACUGCACUCCAGCCUGGGUGACAGAGUAAGACUCUGUCUCAA